rfam:Elusimicrobia bacterium RIFOXYD2_FTLL_34_15 rifoxyd2_full_scaffold_157, whole genome shotgun sequence.
GCCCGCGUGGCGGAAUUGGCAUACGCGCAGUGCUCAGAACGCUGUUCUCGCAAGGGAUUGGAGGUUCAAAUCCUCUCGCGGGCA